rnacentral:rRNA from 1 species
AAAUUGAAGAGUUUGAUCAUGGCUCAGAUUGAACGCUGGCGGCAGGCCUAACACAUGCAAGUCGAACGGUAACAGGAAGCAGCUUGCUGCUUCGCUGACGAGUGGCGGACGGGUGAGUAAUGUCUGGGAAACUGCCUGAUGGAGGGGGAUAACUACUGGAAACGGUAGCUAAUACCGCAUAACGUCGCAAGACCAAAGAGGGGGACCUUCGGACCUCUUGCCAUCGGAUGUGC